CGUCGGUGGCCUGCUGAGGGCAGAUCCAGUGGACGUGGCUGUCGAUCCCGCCGGCGGUCAGGAUCCGUCCCUCGCCGGCGAUCACCUCGGUCCCGGCGCCGACGACGAUGCUCACCCCGUCCAUCGUGUCGGGGUUCCCGGCCUUGCCGAUCGCGGCGAUCCGGCCGCCGACGAUCCCGACGUCGGCCUUGACGAUCCCCCAGUGAUCGACGAUCAGCGCCCCGGUGACGACCGUGUCGACGGCGCCCUCGGCGUUGGUCGCGACGCCUUGCCCCAUCCCCUCGCGGAG
rnacentral:sRNA from 1 species